CAUUCAAUUUAUGAGAAUUGACAAUCAUGUAUUUUUCAUUUAUAGUAGGAAACUGUUAUAGAGAAACAAAGCCUUAACCUAGUGUUUUUGAGUGCUAGUAGUAGUUAUGAAAGGCUAGACCCAUGAAUAGCCAUAAUCAAAUCCUUGCAUAGCUUCUGGUCAUCUUGUAUGCAGUUUACAUGGUGAGGAAAGGGCAUUCAAAAAUUUCCCAGCAGGACAUUGUUGAUGUAUUAGAAAAACAACUGCUUGAGGGUAUGGGUGUGCUUCUCAUUGAGGAAGAGCAACAGAAAUGUGAAGAAAGUGUAUCUGUUGAAAAGAAGAGACUACUUGCUGUUCAUUAAGCUGGUCAUGUUGUGUUAGCUCACUUAUUUCCUCGGUUUGACUGGCAUGCAUUUUCGCAGCUCCUGCCAGGUGGUAAGGUAUGCUAUGUUGUUACAGAAAUAUGCAAAAUGAUCAUAUUGGACUUUUGCCAUUCCUUUUGCCUUUGCUCAUCAUCUCUCCCUAUCAAAAAGCUUUAAUUGUCAGAUAUAAAAAUGAGUUGUUUAAUAUGUUUAAACCUCCUGCCUACACCAGAGUCCUUUAAGCUUGAAGCAAAGAGAAUGCACAAGCACACUUACCUUGUGUUCGAAUAUAACUAAUUGAUUUUAUUCAAAACAGGGUGCUACCAAGAAUUGAAUAGUAGACCACUUACUCAUGGAAGUUUCUUGUAGGGAUUGCACUUCCGCUCUUUAUUAUAAUUGGGUUGUUGCUGAUUCUAUGGCGUUGCAAAGCAAAACGCAAUAUUGUUCUUUACUCAAAUCCAGAACCAGAGAGUUGCAGUGUAUACUUUGGGGUCCCUGUCUUCUCCUAUAAGGAUCUCUUAUAAAGAAAAAAUGUUGUCAAAGCAACUAUUGAUAGGUAUAAGAAAUCAUGUUCAGAUUCAUCUGGUGCUGGACCUGCUUCCGAGAUUAAUGCUUAGUAUUACCAGCAAGAAGCAGAAAAACUGUGUGCCCAAAUUAGUAACCUACAGAAUAACAAAUUUUGUAUGCUAUUGGGAGUUUGAGACGGAUAUUUUAGCAUUUCAACCAGAAAUAGAAAGAUUCAAUAAAUUUCGGUCUAGAUCCAACAAACUUGCCUCCAUGAAGCAAAGAAGCAGUGUUAAGGAUGAUGUUGAAUUGAAGAAUUAGAAUAUGUAAAUUUCGGUCUAGAUUCAGCAAACUUGACUCCUACAUGUCUCUUUUUAUAUUUCUUGAUUUGGUUAUAGAAUUACAAUGCAAACAUUAAUAUUUUAGUUUGUUUAUGACUUGCUUGUUUAUA